rnacentral:rRNA from 1 species
AGUGAACGCUGGCGGUAGGCCUAACACAUGCAAGUCGAACGGCAGCACAGUAAGAGCUUGCUCUUACGGGUGGCGAGUGGCGGACGGGUGAGGAAUACAUCGGAAUCUACUUUUUCGUGGGGGAUAACGUAGGGAAACUUACGCUAAUACCGCAUACGACCUACGGGUGAAAGCAGGGGAUCUUCGGACCUUGCGCGAUUGAAUGAGCCGAUGUCGGAUUAGCUAGUUGGCGGGGUAAAGGCCCACCAAGGCGACGAUCCGUAGCUGGUCUGAGAGGAUGAUCAGCCACACUGGAACUGUGACACGGUCCAGACUCCUACGGGAGGCAGCAGUGGGGAAUAUUGGACAAAGGGCGCAAGCCUGAUCCAGCCAUACCGCGUGGGUGAAGAAGGCCUCCGGGUUGUAAAGCCCUUUUGUUGGGAAAGAAAAGCAGCAGGUUAAUACCCCGCUGUUCUGACGGUACCCAAAGAAUAAGCACCGGCUAACUUCGUG